AAUCCAUAGGUUAAUGAGGCGAACCGGGGGAACUGAAACAUCUAAGUACCCCGAGGAAAAGAAAUCAACCGAGAUUCCCCCAGUAGCGGCGAGCGAACGGGGAGGAGCCCAGAGCCUGAAUCAGCAUGUGUGUUAGUGGAAGCGUCUGGAAAGGCGCGCGAUACAGGGUGACAGCCCCGUACACAAAAGCGCAUGUGCUGUGAGCUCGAUGAGUAGGGCGGGACACGUGGUAUCCUGUCUGAAUAUGGGGGGACCAUCCUCCAAGGCUAAAUACUCCUGACUGACCGAUAGUGAACCAGUACCGUGAGGGAAAGGCGAAAAGAACCCCGGCGAGGGGAGUGAAAAAGAACCUGAAACCGUGUACGUACAAGCAGUGGGAGCACCCUUUGGGUGUGACUGCGUACCUUUUGUAUAAUGGGUCAGCGACUUAUAUUCUGUAGCAAGGUUAACCGAAUAGGGGAGCCGGAGGGAAACCGAGUCUUAAUUGGGCGUUAAGUUGCAGGGUAUAGACCCGAAACCCGGUGAUCUAGCCAUGGGCAGGUUGAAGGUUGGGUAACACUAACUGGAGGACCGAACCGACUAAUGUUGAAAAAUUAGCGGAUGACCUGUGGCUGGGGGUGAAAGGCCAAUCAAACCGGGAGAUAGCUGGUUCUCCCCGAAAGCUAUUUAGGUAGCGCCUCGUGAAUUCAUCUCCGGGGGUAGAGCACUGUUUCGGCUAGGGGGCCAUCCCGGCUUACCAACCCGAUGCAAACUGCGAAUACCGGAGAAUGUUAUCACGGGA
rnacentral:rRNA from 1 species